rnacentral:lncRNA from 1 species
UCCCACCUCCUACUGACAAACAGUGACAUCUACACCAAUUCUCCUACACAACCAAGGUUAAGAUGCCUUCUCCAGUUCAAAGCUAAUCCCUCCACCUGUGCUCAGAUUGCUGUCCUCCCACCUCCAUUGAGACCUUGAUUCACCAAACCACACCCCUCUCCUACCUGUGUCUAUGGCUCUUCCUCCAUGGUAAAUAAGCCCACAUA